rnacentral:rRNA from 1 species
GCAAGUCGAGGGGUAACAGGAGUGCUUGCACUCGCUGACGACCGGCGCACGGGCGCGUAACGCGUAUAGAACCUACCUUUUACAGAGGGAUAGCCUUUAGAAAUGAAGAUUAAUACCUCAUAGUAUUGAGAGUUGGCAUCAACUUUUAAUUAAAGAUUUAUCGGUAAAAGAUGGCUAUGCGUCCUAUUAGCUAGAUGGUAAGGUAACGGCUUACCAGGGCUAUGAUAGGUAGGGGCCCUGAGAGGGGGAUC